GGCUCAGAACGAACGCUGGCGGCGCGCCUAAUACAUGCAAGUCGAGCGAGGAGGUGUAGCAAUACACUUGUAAAGCGGCGAACGGGUGAGGAAUGCAUGGGUAACCUACCCUCGAGUGGGGAAUAACUAGCCGAAAGGUUAGCUAAUACCGCAUACGUUUCCGGGACUUCGGUUCCGGAAAGAAAGCAAUACCGUGGGUAUUGCGCUCAUGGAUGGGCUCAUGUCCUAUCAGCUUGUUGGUGAGGUAACGGCUCACCAAGGCUUCGACGGGUAGCUGGUCUGAGAGGACGACCAGCCACACUGGCACUGCGACACGGGCCAGACUCCUACGGGAGGCAGCAGUAAGGAAUAUUGCGCAAUGGGCGAAAGCCUGACGCAGCGACGCCGCGUGGGGGAUGAAGGUCUUCGGAUUGUAAACCCCUUUCGGGAGGGAAGAUGGAGUGGGUAACCACUUGGACGGUACCUCCAGAAGCAGCCACGGCUAACUUCGUGCCAGCAGCCGCGGUAAUACGAAGGUGGCAAGCGUUGUUCGGAUUCACUGGGCGUACAGGGAGCGUAGGCGGUUGGGUAAGCCCUCCGUGAAAUCUCCGGGCCUAACCCGGAAAGUGCAGAGGGGACUGCUCAGCUAGAGGAUGGGAGAGGAGCGCGGAAUUCCCGGUGUAGCGGUGAAAUGCGUAGAGA
rnacentral:rRNA from 1 species